AACGGUCUAUACCUGCGGUACCUGCGGAGGGAUCAUUAUCAAUUUACAGCGGACUUCGGUCCCGUCUGCACCCUUGUCUUUUGCGUACUAUAUGUUUCCUCGGUGGGCUUGCCUGCCGAUAGGACACUUAUAAACUCUUUUGUAAUUGCAAUCAGCGUCAGAAAACUAUAAUAGUUACAACUUUUAACAAUGGAUCUCU
rnacentral:misc_RNA from 1 species